CGAAAUAAUAAGCGACAACGCGUGACGUCACGAAGCAACAUGUCGAAUCUUGUUCACAGUGUUCUUCGUUAAGACGCACAUCAGUCACAUCAGUGUUUCAGUGUAUUAAUCUUUGUGUCUAAUAUAGUGUAAUAUAUCUAAUAUAGUGUAUAUCAGUGUAUAAUUAUAUUUUUAUAUAACUUAAAAGUUAUUUGUCGAUUAGCAUAUUAAUGUAAAUAAUAUCAAGAUUAAAUAAGUUCAAUACAAAAACUGAACCAUAUUAAUAUUGUGUUAAACAAAAAAAAAGUGUACUAUAAACUUCUCUCUAGACGUUAACUCGGUGUGUAUUGUGUACAAAAUACGAACUUGUGGACUAAUUUAGCUAGAUAAAAAUUUGUGUUGUGUGUAAAGCUUCGUUUUAUGUUUAAUUACGUAAAACAUUUAAGGUUAGUAAAAAUCAUUGAAAAAAUACAUUACAAUUCUUUACUAUUUUUAAAAUAAUUUUUUAUUUCAAUAAUCUGUUUUUUUCAGAUGGCUUUUAUGUAUGCAUUAGUUUUAUUUUUAAAUGAUUCGUCCAAUAAAGAAAUUGAUAUAUUGAAUAUCGUGGUACCGGAUGUAAAUAGCCUGAAUCAUUGUUAAAAAGUACUAAGUAUUGUAAAUUAUUACAAACGAUAGUUAAACAUUGUGAAGGGUCUGACCGACAUGGCCAACGUUUUAUGUUCAAAUAACUGGCCCAGCAGAAACAAUGGAAGAGGCAGAGGAAAAAUUAAUAAGAUUAAAAAGAACCCCUAUUCUUCUCUACCAAUAAUGAGUAGUCUGGUAAUGCAAAAGCGGCUGCUGUUGAAAAAACUUUCAAAUUAAAAGCAUUAGCAAAGGAUUGAUUAAAAAUAGAUAAUAUAUUUAGCCAAAUAGCUUUAGAGUUAACUGACGAACCCACUGAAAUUACAGGUAAUAUUUAUUAUUUAAAAUGUAAAUAUUGUUGAUUAAUUUCUAAUAGUUUUUUUACUAAUGUUUUUUUUUUUUACAAGGGAUAUAUAUUAAUUGAUAUAAAUUUAUUUUUAAUCGUUAAUUUUUAUACUAUCAAUUAAGUUAUAAUACUGAAAUUUUAUUUCAAAUUUUUUCAUUCCACUAGAACCUAAGAAAUAAAAGCCAUAAAAAUGUAACCAAAAAAUUGUGAAGAAACAAGCCUAAAAACAUAGUCUCGAAUGGUCAUCUACAUCAAUAGUGUCUUCGAUAUCUUC
rnacentral:misc_RNA from 1 species